UAUGAACAGACUUUUAAGGGCAACCGGCCAUCACUAAGUUUGCUUCUGCCUACACUAUCCGCAUAUGAGGUUGGACAUCUUUUAUCCAUCUAUGAGCACCGGAUUGCAGUUCAGGGCUUCAUAUGGGGAAUUAACUCAUUUGAUCA